rnacentral:lncRNA from 1 species
CUUUGAGUCGACCAUAAGGGUCAGCGCAUGGACCACGGGUCAGCGCAUAGCAUGCUUGAGCCGACCUACGGUCGACGCAUAGCAUACUGGAGCCGACCUAUGGUCGACGCAUAGCAUAUUUGAGCCGACCUAUGGUCGACCGCUCGUGCGAAAACUCAGUUUUCUGAGUAUUUUCCACUGUGUGAAAAGCUGUUUUUGGUUGCCAGACCACAAAUUCG